CGUGGGUAACCUGCCCAAGAGAUCGGGAUAACACCUGGAAACAGAUGCUAAUACCGGAUAACAACAGAUGAUGCCUAUCAACUGUUUAAAAGAUGGUUCUGCUAUCACUCUUGGAUGGACCUGCGGUGCAUUAGCUAGUUGGUAGGGUAACGGCCUACCAAGGCGAUGAUGCAUAGCCGAGUUGAGAGACUGAUCGGCCACAUUGGGACUGAGACACGGCCCAAACUCCGUACGGGAGGCAGCACGCC
rnacentral:rRNA from 1 species